AGUCAAUAGAUACCCAGGUAGUCCACGCCGUAAACGAUGAGUACUAGGUGUAGGAGGUAUCGACUCCUUCUGUGCCGCAGUUAACACAAUAAGUACUCCGCCUGGGAAGUACGGUCGCAAAGAUUAAAAACUCAAAGGAAUUGACGGGGGCCCGCACAAGCAGCGGAGCAUGUGGUUUAAUUCGAAGCAACGCGAAGAACCUUACCUAGACUUGACAUCUCCUGAAUAGUGUAGAGAUACAUGAAGCCCUUCGGGGCAGGAAGACAGGUGGUGCAUGGUUGUCGUCAGCUCGUGUCGUGAGAUGUUGGGUUAAGUCCCGCAACGAGCGCAACCCUUAUUACUAGUUGCUACCAUUAAGUUGAGCACUCUAGUGAGACUG
rnacentral:rRNA from 1 species